rnacentral:rRNA from 1 species
UACAGAGGUCUCAAGCGUUGUUCGGAUUCAUUGGGCGUAAAGGGCGCGUAGGCGGGCUGUCAAGUCUGGGGUGAAAUGCCGCGGCUCAACCGUGGAACUGCCUCUGAUACUGCCGGCCUCGAGGGGGAUAGGGGCGUGCGGAACUCAGGGUGGAGCGGUGAAAUGCGUAGAUAUCCUGAGGAACACCGGUGGCGAAAGCGGCGCGCUGGAUCCCUUCUGACGCUGAGGCGCGAAAGCCAGGGGAGCAAACGGG